CAAUAGCGUAUAUUAAAGUUGUUGCGGUUAAAAAGCUCGUAGUUGGAUUUCUGCUGAGAACGACCGGUCCGCCCUUUGGGUGUGUAUCUGGCUCUUUCUUGGCAUCUUCUUGGUGAACGUUGCUGCACUUGACUGUGUGGAGCGCUACCCAGGACUUUUACUUUGAGGAAAUUAGAGUGUUUCAAGCAGGCAUACGCCUUGAAUACAUUAGCAUGGAAUAAUAAGAUAGGACCUCGGUUCUAUUUUGUUGGUUUCUAGAGCUGAGGUAAUGAUUAAUAGGGAUAGUUGGGGGCAUUCGUAUUUAACUGUCAGAGGUGAAAUUCUUGGAUUCGUUAAAGACGGACUACUGCGAAAGCGUUUGCCCAGGAUGUUUUCAUUGA
rnacentral:rRNA from 1 species